CCUACGGGUGGCAGCAGUGAGGAAUAUUGGUCAAUGGGCGCGAGCCUGAACCAGCCAAGUCGCGUGAAGGAUGACUGCCCUACGGGCUUUAAACUUCUUCUAUAAAGGAAUAAAGUGAGGCACGUGUGCCUUUUUGUAUGUACUGUAUGAAUAAGGAUCGGCUAACUCCGCGCCAGCAGCCGCGGUAAUACGGAGGGUCCGAGCGUUAUCCGGAUUGAUUGGGUUUAAAGGGAGCGUAGAGGGGUUGGUAAGUCAGUAGUGAAAGUUUGCGGCUCAACCGUAAAAUUGCAAUUGAUACUGGCAGUCUUGAGUACAGGUGAGGUAGGCGGAAUUCGUGGUGUAGCGGUGAAAUGCUUAGAUAUCACGAAGAACUCCGAUUGCGAAGGCAGCUUACUAAACUGCCACUGACAUUGAUGCUCGAAAGUGUGGGUAUCAAACAGGAUUAGAUACCCUGGUAGUC
rnacentral:rRNA from 1 species